UUCUAACCUACUUCUGGAAGCAGAAAAGCAGCUUCAAAACGAAGCAAAAAUUUCUGGCUUCUUGUUUCUAGAGAAGUUGCUACUCAUGGGAUUCUGUGAAAUAAAUUUUAUACUUUUAUCUUUCUUUUUUUUGAUACUUUUCUUUGUUCUCUCAAUUUCUUCUCUGUAUUCUUCCUCAACACCCUAAAUACUGAUUCUUCUUUCGAUCAAAAACUGGAUAUGAAAGUUCUAUAUUUUACAGGGGAAAUUGAUACAAAAAAAACCCAUUAAAUUACUUUAUUGAUAUCAUUGUUUUAAUCAGACAAAUUCUUACUUUGAGAAAUCAAUAUAAUUUCGUUACUUUAGAAACUCCUGUGAAGGUCGACUCUUGUGACGUACGGACACUAAUGUCCUCACGUAAUGCUCGAUGAUGGCCGAGUCUCUUUACCCGGCUAGCCUUUCUCAAUUAGUGGAUGUCAUUUUUUUUUAAAAUUUUGAUAUCCUUAAAUUGGCCAGCGAUUAGAUUAUCGCAUCAAAACCGUCUUAUAUCAUGUUAGAGAUGUUAGAUAGGGACCCGAGAAUGCAACACCAACUCCAUCGGCUCCAUACCAGAAGCAAGUACUGCAGCGUCCUCGACUUCGAAGACAUCAACACAACUCAUGAGAACGUAUCUUAUGGGGCAGGACUAAGGAUAUAUUAUACCUAAGAUGAAACAGUUAGAAAGCCAUGGUUCUCUCAUUUUUAUUUUUUGGAUAAGAAAAAUCUGAUGCCGGUCUAAAAAUUAUGGUUGUUUUGUCGCAUAAAUUUGCUUUGCCACAAACAACAAAAGUAAUAAUAUUAAUUAUUUUAUAAAACCAAAUAUAUGUUUUUACUUCUA